CACCGGCGGCUCGAGUGGUGGCCACUUUUAUUGGGUCUAAAGCGUCCGUAGCCGGCUUGGCAAGUCCCCUGGGAAAUCUCGCGGCUUAACCGUCAGGCGUCCAGAGGAUACUGCCAGGCUUGGGACCGGGAGAGGUGAGAGGUACCUCAGGGGUAGGGGUGAAAUCUUGUGAUCCCUGAGGGACCACCAGUGGCGAAGGCGUCUCACUAGAACGGGUCCGACGGUCAGGGACGAAAGCUGGGGGCACGAACCGG
rnacentral:rRNA from 1 species